AUAACGCGUGAGAAUCUAGCUUCAGGUUCGGGACAACAUUGGGAAACCGAUGCUAAUACCGGAUGUGCCGUGAGGUGAAAGGCUUGCUGCCUGAAGAUGAGCUCGCGUCUGAUUAGCUAGUUGGUAGUGUAAGGGACUACCAAGGCGACGAUCAGUAGCUGGUCUGAGAGGAUGAUCAGCCACACUGGAACUGAGACACGGUCCAGACUCCUACGGGAGGCAGCAGUGGGGAAUUUUCCGCAAUGGGCGAAAGCCUGACGGAGCAAUACCGCGUGAGGGAGGAAGGCUCUUGGGUUGUAAACCUCUUUUCUCAAGGAAGAAGUUCUGACGGUACUUGAGGAAUCAGCAUCGGCUAACUCCGUGCCAGCAGCCGCGGUAAUACGGAGGAUGCAAGCGUUAUCCGGAAUGAUUGGGCGUAAAGCGUCCGCAGGUGGUUGUGUGUGUCUAUUGUCAAAGCAUCAUGCUUAACAUGAUAAGGGCAGUGGAAACUACACAACUAGAGUGCGUUCGGGGCAGAGGGAAUUCCUGGUGUAGCGGUGAAAUGCGUAGAGAUCAGGAAGAACACCGGUGGCGAAAGCGCUCUGCUAGGCCGUAACUGACACUGAGAGGACGAAAGCUAGGGGAGCGAAUGGGAUUAGAACCCCCAGUUCUCACGCGUUACC
rnacentral:rRNA from 1 species